rnacentral:rRNA from 1 species
UACGUAGGGUGCAGGCGUUAAUCGGAAUUACUGGGCGUAAAGCGUGCGCAGGCGGUUUGCUAAGACAGGUGUGAAAUCCCUCGGCUUAACCGGGGAACUGCGUCUGAUACUGGAUGGCUUGAGUUUGGGAGAGGGAUGCGGAAUUCCAGGUGUAGCGGUGAAAUGCGUAGAUAUCUGGAGGAACACCGGUGGCGAAGGCGGCAUCCUGGACCAAUACUGACACUGAGGAGCGAAAGCCAGGGGAGCAAACGGG